AGCAACAUUGCCUGGCUGCGAGGCUUCAUGGAACACCCUGAAGUUUCUAGGGUUGGAAGAGACCUGAACAGAUCACGUCCAACCCCCUGCCCUGGGCAGGAAUGAGUGCUGGGAUCAUAAUACCCCAGCCUCCUCUUGAAGACCCCCAACCUCCUCUUGAAGACUCCCAAGAUAUCUACAGAGGUGGACAAGCAAACUGUUGCUUCUGAAGAGACAUGGGAUGUUCUGUAUGACUCUUAUACCCUCUGUUCACAUUUUCUAUUUUUACCCAAAUCAGAAGAGAUCUGGCUAUAUGUGCCUGAAACACUCUCAGAAAAUUGGAACUGAUCAGAAGAGGUGAUAUCACAAGUUACCUAUCAUGUUUCAGAUAAACGGAAAUCCUGUGAAGUUUGGUGUCAGACUUGCUUCACUCAGCUAAUGAGGCCCAGCAUUUGAUAAAACUCGUCUUUAACUUAAAAAGUUAACUUUUAUGGCUCAGAUUCACACAAAAAUAAAGUCUAGCUAUAUGUUUAUUUAAAAACUGCAUUUUCUUACUCAACAGAUAAACUUAUUGUUUAUUCAGA